rnacentral:rRNA from 1 species
ACGCGUGGAACCUUACCAGGUCUUGACAUCCCGCUGCCCGGUAUAGAGAUAUACCUUUCCCUUCGGGGACAGCGGUGACAGGUGGUGCAUGGUUGUCGUCAGCUCGUGUCGUGAGAUGUUGGGUUAAGUCCCGCAACGAGCGCAACCCUUGAUCUUAGUUGCCAGCAUUCAGUUGGGCACUCUAAGGUGACUGCCGGUGACAAACCGGAGGAAGGUGGGGAUGACGUCAAAUCAUCAUGCCCCUUAUGACCUGGGCUACACACGUGCUACAAUGGAUGGUACAAAGGGCUGCAAGACUGCGAAGUCAAGCCAAUCCCAUAAAACCAUUCUCAGUUCGGAUUGCAGGCUGCAACUCGCCUGCAUGAAGCCGGAAUCGCUAGUAAUCGCGGAUCAGCAUGCCGCGGUGAAUACGUUCCCGGGCCUUGUACACACCGCCCGU